CCCACCCCCAGUACUGGGGGACUCCGGCAGGGCUGAGAGGACUGGGCGCCGCCAUCUUGUGGCUAUGGGCACUGCCAUCUUUGUGACGGAGUGACGGUAUUGCUUUGGGUAAAAAUCAGAGAACGUGUUUACGAGUUUAGGUUCACCAUUUAAACUCCUGAUUACUUUGGCAAAUAUUUACGGAGGAUCAACCAAGUCUAAGGCACUUGGAAACUGACAUCAGCAUGGAUGCCGUAUGUGUGCUGUCACUAUGGAGCUUUUCAGUUUUGUACUGCACCAUCUUGGACUUCUCUGCAACGAAUACAGCUCUGAGAGCAACAGAAACAACCCAGGUCCUACUGGUCAGUGGGUGAAGUCCGGAUAUAUCUGCCUACAGGCGCCAAAGAGGCCAGAGGAACAAGACAGACGACCAAGUUCAACAAAAAACAACACAAGGUUCUUAUCAAGUUCUUUGAAAAGGACUGAUACCCUGAUAUCACUGUCCAUGAAGAACUAGCCAAACAAAUCCAGAUUCCUGAGCCAAGAAUCCAGAGCCUUACUGGUACCUGGCUGGAAGCAUGAAGCAGCUACCCUAAGCCUUGUGUAUGGGACUAUUACAGGUGCCAGCUCAGAUAUUACCUAAGACAAACUCCCAGCCUGUGGGUAGGUAAUAAAGUUGUUGAAUUAUU